rnacentral:rRNA from 1 species
GACGAACGCUGGCGGCGUGCCUAACACAUGCAAGUCGAACGGAGAACUCAAUAAGCUUGCUUAAAGAGUUCUUAGUGGCGGACGGGUGAGUAACGCGUGGGUAACCUACCUAUAAGACCGGGACAACCCUUGGAAACGAGGGCUAAUACCGGAUACGCUUAAGAGCUGGCAUCAGCUUUUAAGGAAAGAUGGCCUCUGAAUAUGCUAUCGCUUAUAGCUGGAUCCGUGUCUGAUUAGCUAGUUGGUGGGGUAAAGGCCUACAAAGGCGACGAUCAGUAGCCGGCCUGAGAGGGUGAACGGCCACACUGGGACUGAGACACGGCCCAGACUCCUACGGGAGGCAGCAGUGGGGAAUCUUCCGCAAUGGACGAAAGUCUGACGGAGCAACGCCGCGUGUACGACGAAGGCCUUCGGGUUGUAAGUACUGUCUUCAGGGACGAACGGUAUCCCUGUGAAUAAUGGGGGUACAUGACGGUACCUGAGGAGGAAGCCCCGGCUAACUACGUGCCAGCCGCCGCAGUAAUAC